GACGAACGCUGGCGGCGUGCUUAACACAUGCAAGUCGAACGAAGUGGCGAACGGGUGAGUAACGCGUAAUCAACCUGCCCUUCAGAGGGGGACAACAGUUGGAAACGACUGCUAAUACCUCAUACUGAAGGACGGGAUUGCGUCUGAUUAGCUAGUUGGUGGGGUAACGGCCCACCAAGGGGAUGAUCAGUAGCCGGUUGUGAGAGAAGAACGGCCACAUUGGGACUGGGACCAGGGCCAGACUCCUAAGGGAUGCAGCAGUGGGGAAACUUCCGCAAUGGACGAAAGUCUGACGGAGCAACGCCGCGUGAGUGAAGACGGCCUUCGGGGUGUAAAGCUCUGUUAAUCGGGACGCGGUACCGGAAUAGAAAGCCACGGCUAACUACGUGCCAGCAGCCGCGGUAAUAC
rnacentral:rRNA from 1 species